rnacentral:rRNA from 1 species
AUUGAACGCUGGCGGCAUGCUUUACACAUGCAAGUCGAACGGUAACAGGCCGCAAGGUGCUGACGAGUGGCGAACGGGUGAGUAAUGCAUCGGAACGUGCCCAGUCGUGGGGGAUAACGCAGCGAAAGCUGCGCUAAUACCGCAUACGAUCUAUGGACGAAAGCGGGGGACCGUAAGGCCUCGCGCGAUUGGAGCGGCCGAUGUCAGAUUAGGUAGUUGGUGGGGUAAAGGCUCACCAAGCCAACGAUCUGUAGCUGGUCUGAGAGGACGACCAGCCACACUGGGACUGAGACACGGCCCAGACUCCUACGGGAGGCAGCAGUGGGGAAUUUUGGACAAUGGGCGCAAGCCUGAUCCAGCAAUACCGCGUGCAGGAAGAAGGCCUUCGGGUUGUAAACUGCUUUUGUACGGAACGAAACGGUCCGGGUUAAUACCCUGGGCAAAUGACGGUACCGUAAGAAUAAGCACCGGCUAACUACGUGCCAGCCGCCGCCGUAAGAC